ensembl:snoRNA LOC120103316 small nucleolar RNA SNORA17
AUUGCCUGUAGAGGCAUCACAGGCAUGGAUGCUGUGUCAUAUGUGAAACAGUAAGUGGCAGAUAAGAGAUAGUCUAUGUCCAUAUACUCUGUGUUCUGACCUGUGAACGUCUGAAUGAUUAGAAGCCCAACACU